AUUGAACGCUGGCGGCAGGCCUAACACAUGCAAGUCGAGCGGCAGCGGGAAAGUAGCUUGCUACUUUUGCCGGCGAGCGGCGGACGGGUGAGUAAUGCCUGGGAAAUUGCCCAGUCGAGGGGGAUAACAGUUGGAAACGACUGCUAAUAUCGCAUACGCCCUACGGGGGAAAGCAGGGGACCUUCGGGCCUUGCGCGAUUGGAUAUGCCCAGGUGGGAUUAGCUAGUUGGUGAGGUAAUGGCUCACCAAGGCGACGAUCCCUAGCUGGUCUGAGAGGAUGAUCAGCCACACUGGAACUGAGACACGGUCCAGACUCCUACGGGAGGCAGCAGUGGGGAAUAUUGCACAAUGGGGGAAACCCUGAUGCAGCCAUGCCGCGUGUGUGAAGAAGGCCUUCGGGUUGUAAAGCACUUUCAGCGAGGAGGAAAGGUCAGUAGCUAAUACCUGCUGGCUGUGACGUUACUCGCAGAAGAAGCACCGGCUAACUCCGUGCCAGCCGCCGCCGUAAUAC
rnacentral:rRNA from 1 species